rnacentral:rRNA from 1 species
AGAGUUUGAUCAUGGCUCAGAUUGAACGCUGGCGGCAGGCCUAACACAUGCAAGUCGAACGGUAACAGGAAGCAGCUUGCUGCUUUGCUGACGAGUGGCGGACGGGUGAGUAAUGUCUGGGAAACUGCCUGAUGGAGGGGGAUAACUACUGGAAACGGUGGCUAAUACCGCAUAACGUCGCAAGACCAAAGAGGGGGACCUUCGGGCCUCUUGCCAUCAGAUGUGCCCAGAUGGGAUUAGCUUGUUGGUGAGGUAACGGCUCACCAAGGCGACGAUCCCUAGCUGGUCUGAGAGGAUGACCAGCCACACUGGAACUGAGACACGGUCCAGACUCCUACGGGAGGCAGCAGUGGGGAAUAUUGCACAAUGGGCGCAAGCCUGAUGCAGCCAUGCCGCGUGUAUGAAGAAGGCCUUCGGGUUGUAAAGUACUUUCAGCGGGGAGGAAGGUGUUGUGGUUAAUAACCACAGCAAUUGACGUUACCCGCAGAAGAAGCACCGGCUAACUCCGUGCCAGCAGCCGCGGUAAUACGGAGGGUGCAAGCGUUAAUCGGAAUUACUGGGCGUAAAGCGCACGCAGGCGGUCUGUCAAGUCGGAUGUGAAAUCCCCGGGCUCAACCUGGGAACUGCAUUCGAAACUGGCAGGCUUGAGUCUUGUAGAGGGGGGUAGAAUUCCAGGUGUAGCGGUGAAAUGCGUAGAGAUCUGGAGGAAUACCGGUGGCGAAGGCGGCCCCCUGGACAAAGACUGACGCUCAGGUGCGAAAGCGUGGGGAGCAAACAGGAUUAGAUACCCUGGUAGUCCACGCCGUAAACGAUGUCUACUUGGAGGUUGUGCCCUUGAGGCGUGGCUUCCGGAGCUAACGCGUUAAGUAGACCGCCUGGGGAGUACGGCCGCAAGGUUAAAACUCAAAUGAAUUGACGGGGGCCCGCACAAGCGGUGGAGCAUGUGGUUUAAUUCGAUGCAACGCGAAGAACCUUACCUGGUCUUGACAUCCACGGAAGAAUUCAGAGAUGGAUUUGUGCCUUCGGGAACCGUGAGACAGGUGCUGCAUGGCUGUCGUCAGCUCGUGUUGUGAAAUGUUGGGUUAAGUCCCGCAACGAGCGCAACCCUUAUCCUUUGUUGCCAGCGAUUCGGUCGGGAACUCAAAGGAGACUGCCAGUGAUAAACUGGAGGAAGGUGGGGAUGACGUCAAGUCAUCAUGGCCCUUACGACCAGGGCUACACACGUGCUACAAUGGCGCAUACAAAGAGAAGCGACCUCGCGAGAGCAAGCGGACCUCAUAAAGUGCGUCGUAGUCCGGAUUGGAGUCUGCAACUCGACUCCAUGAAGUCGGAAUCGCUAGUAAUCGUGGAUCAGAAUGCCACGGUGAAUACGUUCCCGGGCCUUGUACACACCGCCCGUCACACCAUGGGAGUGGGUUGCAAAAGAAGUAGGUAGCUUAACCUUCGGGAGGGCGCUUACCACUUUGUGAUUCAUGACUGGGGUGAAGUCGUAACAAGGUAACCGUAGGGGAACCUGCGGUUG